rnacentral:rRNA from 1 species
UACGGAGGAUGCGAGCGUUAUCCGGAUUUAUUGGGUUUAAAGGGUGCGUAGGCGGAUUUUUAAGUCAGCGGUAAAAUGUCCGGGCUCAACCCGGGCCGGCCGUUGAAACUGGGGAUCUUGAGUGGGCGAGAAGUAUGCGGAAUGCGUGGUGUAGCGGUGAAAUGCAUAGAUAUCACGCAGAACUCCGAUUGCGAAGGCAGCAUACCGGCGCCCGACUGACGCUGAGGCACGAAAGCGUGGGGAUCAAACAGG